rnacentral:rRNA from 1 species
UAUGGGGAAAUAAUAAGUAAGCAGACGGGUGAGUAAUGCAUAGGAAUCUACCUAGUAGUAUAGGAUAGCCACUAGAAAUGGUGGGUAAUACUGUAUAAUCCCUGCGGGGGAAAGAUUUAUCGCUACAUGAUGAGCCUAUGUUAGAUUAGCUAGUUGGUGGGGUAAUGGCCUACCAAGGCAGUGAUCUAUAGCUGGUCUGAGAGGAUGAUCAGCCACACUGGAACUGAGACACGGUCCAGACUCCUACGGGAGGCAGCAGUGGGGAAUAUUGGACAAUGGGCGCAAGCCUGAUCCAGCUAUGCCGCGUGAGUGAGGAAGGCCUUAGGGUUGUAAAACUCUUUCAGUAGGGAAGAUAAUGACGGUACCUAUA